rnacentral:rRNA from 1 species
GAUCAGUAGGGGUUCUGAGAGGAAGGUCCCCCACAUCGGAACUGAGACACGGUCCAAACUCCUACGGGAGGCAGCAGUGAGGAAUAUUGGUCAAUGGGCGAGAGCCUGAACCAGCCAAGUAGCGUGCAGGAAGACGGCCCUAUGGGUUGUAAACUGCUUUUAUAAGGGAAUAAAGUGAGUCUCGUGAGACUUUUUGCAUGUACCUUAUGAAUAAGGACCGGCUAAUUCCGUGCCAGCAGCCGCGGUAAUACGGAAGGUCCGGGCGUUAUCCGGAUUUAUUGGGUUUAAAGGGAGCGUAGGCCGGAGAUUAAGCGUGUUGUGAAAUGUAGACGCUCAACGUCUGCACUGCAGCGCGAACUGGUUUCCUUGAGUACGCACAAAGUGGGCGGAAUUCGUGGUGUAGCGGUGAAAUGCUUAGAUAUCACGAAGAACUCCGAUUGCGAAGGCAGCUCACUGGAGCGCAACUGACGCUGAAGCUCGAAAGUGCGGGUAUCGAACAGGAUUAGAUACCCUGGUAGUCCGCACGGUAAACGAUGGAUGCCCGCUGUUGGUCUGAACAGGUCAGCGGCCAAGCGAAAGCAUUAAGCAUCCCACCUGGGGAGUACGCCGGCAACGGUGAAACUCGAAGGAAUUGACGGGGGCCCGCACAAGCGGAGGAACAUGUGGUUUAAUUCGAUGAUACGCGAGGAACCUUACCCGGGCUUGAAUUGCAGAGGAAGGAUUUGGAGACAAUGACGCCCUUCGGGGUCUCUGUGAAGGUGCUGCAUGGUUGUCGUCAGCUCGUGCCGUGAGGUGUCGGCUUAAGUGCCAUAACGAGCGCAACCCCUCUCCUUAGUUGCCAUCAGGUUAAGCUGGGCACUCUGGGGACACUGCCACCGUAAGGUGUGAGGAAGGUGGGGAUGACGUCAAAUCAGCACGGCCCUUACGUCCGGGGCUACACACGUGUUACAAUGGCAGGUACAGAGAGACGGUUGUACGUAAGUACGGUCAAAUCCUUAAAGCCUGUCUCAGUUCGGACUGGGGUCUGCAACCCGACCCCACGAAGCUGGAUUCGCUAGUAAUCGCGCAUCAGCCAUGGCGCGGUGAACACGUUCCCGGGCCUUGUACACACCGCCCGUCAAGCCAUGAAAGCCGGGGGCGCCUAAAGUCCGUGACCGUAAGGAGCGGCCUAGGGCGAAACUGGUAAUUGGGGCUAAGUCGUAACAAGGUA